rnacentral:rRNA from 1 species
UACAGAGGGUGCAAGCGUUUAAUCGGAAUUACUGGGCGUAAAGGGUGCGUAGGUGGUUAGGUAAGUUAAGUGUGAAAGCCCCGGGCUCAACCUGGGAAUGCCGCUUAAUACUGCCUAACUAGAGUAUUGUAGAGGAAAGUGGAAUUUCCGGUGUAGCGGUGAAAUGCGCAGAUAUCGGGAAGAACACCCGUGGCGAAGGCGGCACUCUGGGACGGUACUGACGCUGAGACGCGAAAGCGUGGGGAGCGAACAGG